rnacentral:rRNA from 1 species
UAUACCCAAUCCUGACACAGGGAGGUAGUGACAAGAAAUAACAAUACAGGGCUAAUGUCUUGUAAUUGGAAUGAUGGUGACUUAAACCCUCACCAGAGUAGCAAUUGGAGGGCAAGUCUGGUGCCAGCAGCCGCGGUAAUUCCAGCUCCAAUAGCGUAUAUUAAACUUGUUGCAGUUAAAAAGCUCGUAGUUGUAUUUUUGCUGGAUUUUGUAUUGUCCUUUGGGUCAUUCUUGGUCUGGCUUUUGGCUUUUUGCCUUUUUACUUUGAGAAAAUUAGAGUGUUUCAAGCAGACGUUUGUCUUGAAUACUGUAGCAUGGAAUAAUAGAGUAGGACUUUGGUUCUAUUUUGUUGGUUUGUGAACCUUAGUAAUGGUUAAUAGGAACGGUUGGGGGCAUUCGUAUUU